UACGGAGGGUGCGAGCGUUGUCCGGAAUCAUUGGGCGUAAAGGGCGCGUAGGUGGCCCGGUCAGUUCGUGGUGAAAGCGCGGGGCUCAACCCCGCGUCGGCCAUGAAUACUGCCGCGGCUGGAGCACUGUAGAGGCAGGCGGAAUUCCGGGUGUAGCGGUGGAAUGCGUAGAGAUCCGGAAGAACACCGGUGGCGAAGGCGGCCUGCUGGGCAGUUGCUGACACUGAGGCGCGACAGCGUGGGGAGCAAACAGG
rnacentral:rRNA from 1 species